CGGCGGGGUGGCUGGGCCGGCGGCGGCGGCGGUACGAGGCGCGCGCUCGGGGUCCCGGUCGCGAGGAGGAGGAGGAUGUGGCGCGCGGAGGGGAAAUGGCUGCCGAAAACAAGCCGGAAGAGCGUUUCCCAAAGUGUAUUCUGCGGAACUAGCACCUACUGUGUUCUCAACACCGUGCCACCUAUAGAAGAUGAUCAUGGGAACAGCAAUAGUAGUCAUGUAAAAAUCUUUUUACCGAAAAAGCUGCUUGAAUGUCUGCCGAAAUGUUCAAGUUUACCCAAAGAGAGGCACCGCUGGAACACUAAUGAGAGAUCAUGAUGCAGCCGCCCUUUUGGAUUUCUUUUUAAUAAUGUGUGACCCUUCACCUUUGAUCCCCUGACCUGCAUUACCUUGGGUUGUUGAGAGGAUAAAUGAAACACUGAGAACUCAGAAGAAAGGUGCUUUUGAAACUCAACCUCAUCCUAUGGCUGUGCCAAGAGGCAGUGGUAGUGAACCCCGUGGUGAAGGGCCAGGACCAUGGCUGUGGAGCCAGGCUGCUGAGGUCUUAAAAUUAUGGUAGCAGAAAGCAAAGGUGCAGAGAGCAGUGGAAACAAGUCAGAAGCUGCUGUCUGAUUCCAGAGAUGUCCACAAUCUAUGACAUGUGGUUUAUGUUGGAAUCUUCAGUUUAUCCUGAUAUCUCAAGUUGCUAAUUUAGUUGAAUAACACCUGGGGAAUAGGUCAUGAGUACUUUGAUCCUCUUCACGAUAUAACCUAUUCUAAGCCCAUGAAGCAUUGAGCAUAGCCUGGUGCUGUGGGCCUUUUACUCCCCCUUAAGCCCUGAACUACAGUCCUGCUUACAUUGUGCUAAUCUGAGGCCUGGGAGGCAGCCAGGCACCUUUCACUCCAUGUGCUCCACCUGCUGCCUGCCUGCCCCUCAUUCUACCAGCUCCUGAGCUAGGGAGGUAGAGACUUCUGAGGUUUCCUUUCUGUGGCUUUGUGCUUUGGGAUAGUUUCAGGGCUACAGUGGAAGUCACUGGCAGCUCCUUAAAAUUUUACAUUGAUUCGGAAGUGUCCUUGACUUCCUGGGAAACUAGCCUGUGGUGACCAGUUAGAAGUGCUAGGAGUUGAAUCAGCCUUCUCAGUGCUCAGACAGACUCUAGCAAGGCAGCCUCUCGAAGUAUUGUCUGUUCCAUCAAUAUGUACUUAGACACAUUAAUCCGAGUUAGAGAACUGAUUGUACCUAAUGGCUCCCCUGGGAUGCAUGUCAGAAAAAAACAAAAACCAAAGGAGUGUGCUGAAUAUGCAGAGUAAGUAAAAAAAAAAUCCUUGUAAAAAUAGUGUUAAUUGAACUUGGACCUUGAUCAUCUUUGAGCUUUCUAUUCUUAAUUUGGUUCUUUAAACAGUCUGUCUCAGAGCCUAAUAAAAGUUAUACUGUGACAUUGCCAAAAAGACAUUUUAUACAAGAAAGACCCAAUUUUGAAUUAUCUUUGGGAAAUAGGUCAUGUGGGGUAGAGACACAUGUACAAAUACACACACACUCAUAAGUGUGUUUAGAAUAUUCUUCAGUUGUCCUUUACUCACGUGUUUCCUCUCUCUGCCUCUGGAAGUGGGGCACAUUUUCUUCAGUUAAGAACAGAAAUAGAAGCGACGGUCUUGACCCAUUUUACACCUGUUUAUUUCAGGCUCUCACCACACACUUGUUCAUGGGCGCAGCAAGAAGAGGGACCCACAGAGCUGGAGCCGUGAGGGCUGGCACAUUGGGAGGAAGCUGGCAGAGCUCAUAGGGAGAGCUUUCCGUCCUGCCAGCUUCAUAUCUGCUUCAAGACAGUUGUAUCAGUGAAUUCAUUUCACUUUAAACCCCAGGUUUAUAUGAGUUGAAUCUUACUAAAAAUGAAAUAAGAGUCAAGUGACCUACUCUUGCUUCAUGCAGUGUGCCUGUGAGAGGGUACCGCAGCCGCUUAUCUCUAGGGAGUAGCCUGCACUGUGUAUUCCCUGCUUCCAGUGUCUCUCCGGCCCCCAAACUUACCUUUUCUUAUUACCAUUCACCCAGCAAUAACCUGUUCAUGUGUUGAUUACUGCCUCCCAGAAGAAUGGAAGCUCCAUGAGAGCAGGGCCUGUGUGUUGUCUCUGUCUCCAGCACACAGGACAGCGCCUGGCAUUUCAAUAAAUGCGGUUCAGUGAA